rnacentral:rRNA from 1 species
UGGCUCAGAACGAACGCUGGCGGCGUGCUUAACACAUGCAAGUCGAACGCGAAAGGGACUUCGGUCCUGAGUAAAGUGGCGCACGGGUGAGUAACGCGUAGAUAACCUGUCUUCAUGUCUGGAAUAAUACGCCGAAAGGGGUACUAAUACCGGAUAUUCUUGCUUUUCAUAAGUUAUGCAAGCAAAGGUGGCCUCUGCAUAUGCUACUGCAUGAAGAGGGGUCUGCGUACCAUUAGCUAGUAGGUGGGGUAAUGGCCUACCUAGGCGACGAUGGUUAGCGGGUCUGAGAGGAUGAUCCGCCACACUGGCACUGGAACACGGGCCAGACUCCUACGGGAGGCAGCAGUGAGGAAUAUUGCGCAAUGGGGGAAACCCUGACGCAGCGACGCCGCGUGAAGUGAGGAAGGCCUUCGGGUCGUAAAGCUCUGUCAAGAGGAAAGAAGUGUACAAUGGCUAAUACCUGUUGUAUUUGACGGUACCUCUAAAGGAAGCACCGGCUAACUCCGUGCCAGCCGCUGC